CACUAGCUUUCUUGACAUUUUUUGUUCUUCCCAGACUUUUAAAAUUAUUAUUGCAGACAUUUGAAAACAGUAUCUGGCAUCUCUGCAGCGGAACAAACACCAUGGCGCCAUGGAAAAAUAAAAGAAAAAGUCGUCAUUGCAUCACCGCCGGGAUCUGCCGACAGUAAAAAACAAUUCUUUUAGGUUGCACGAAUUACCUGCGGAAAAUGAAAAUUAAUCACGUAGUCGAUUGGCACUCUCUUGCUAACUACGUAGGCAUAACUUUCGCUUAUUGACUGCGGAGAUCCAGAUCCCAGUUGCUGAUGACUUUUUCAAGCUGUUGCGAGAUCCAGAUAAAACUACUUAGUUGGAAUUAUUCUUUCCAGGACGAAUGAUUGGUGAUUGAUAGCUUGGAUCAGCUCUUCUAUUGCACGAUCGAUGUUAUAUACUUUUUUUAAGGAAAUGCAACCAGAGAUGGGUUGAAACCGGAUAUUUGGCUAAUUUUUCACGAUAAUGUACGUUGAGAAGCUGGGCAGUGAAUAUCAAGAUGACGGUUGUAUUGGAUUUGGAAACGCAUUGUAAGAAGAGGAGCUUAAUUUAUCAUUCUCAAAACGGACGGGUUGAAUUAUUGCUGCCGCUGCCUACAACAAUACAUCCCGAAAGGCUGCGUUUAAAGCGAGGAUCCAUAUCCAUAUUUUCCGGUUGCUACUACAGAAUCACGAGACGACGUUGUGUUCCAUAUUGGAUACAAAACGAGCAACUACGGAUGAUUUUCUAUUUAUUGAUUCCCUCUGCCUCGACCUACACUCCACGCAUUGUUCUAUCCAUGCUCAAACUACAGUAAUUACAUUCAUGUUUACUAAACAUUGUUUAGUAUUCUUCCUGAGCAUGGUCGUCUUCAUUAAUGGUCGGUAUUGCCGCCAAAGAUGAUACAGUAAACUAACAUUAAAGCAUAUAUCGAAAUGGACUGUAUCUUUCGCACAAUUCAAUGAAAACACUAUUAUUCAAGUGGAAUUUGAUGAAAGCAACAUGUAUUUUUUGGAACCCAAAGCAGUGCUUCGGAUGAAAAUGUUACAGGCGCUUCGUCUCCCCGUUUAGUCCAGAACGCUUCCAGCGAAAACACAUCUGGAUGAGGUUAGUUUUUUUCUGGACAACUGUCGACCACAUAAUCCGUAUAAUUCAGGUCAAAAUAUUUGCCUACAUCCCGAACCCAAAGGCACCGGCGCCGAGCGCAACGGUAAACGCUUCGUAAUCAGCUACAGCUCAUAAGUUUGCGUCAACGGUAAUUGUUUGCGUCGCGAAGCCAAUAGUUACAGCGGAAAUUACAGUAACCAUUGCUGCGUCGAGAUCAAUCGUUUAACUUUGACAUCCGAUCCGUAGAAUAAACUGCGGUGUGCAAUGACAGCAAGAUGGUGCAAAUCUGCGCAAAGUCUUACUAGAAGCAGUGCUUUAGCUCUGGUCAUAGUCCGUUUAAGCUUCAUAAUAAAUCACCUCGGGAUGUGCGAACGUACCUUCGGAAAUAUGAUGAUCUCGACUUAGCGCUACUUUCUGCGUAGACAUAGUUGGCGUAACUAUUGUGAUUGCAGAUGAUAAGGUAAUAUAUCCAAUAUCCUGUGGAAUUUUUCGUUCGUUAACAUCAGUUUGUGGCAAAACUGGGCAGCUUUGAUUUGCUUAGAUUCAAUAAGAUUUAUUAAUUUUAUAUUUAUGUGCACGUUGAUAUUGAACUGGGUGUAAUUUCGAAGAACAUAAAUAACAUGAUAAUGGAUACAACCAAUAUUGUCUGUAGAUAG